AUUGAACGCUGGCGGCAUGCUUUACACAUGCAAGUCGAACGGUAACAGGCCGCAAGGUGCUGACGAGUGGCGAACGGGUGAGUAAUGCAUCGGAACGUGCCCAGUCGUGGGGGAUAACGCAGCGAAAGCUGCGCUAAUACCGCAUACGAUCUAUGGAUGAAAGCGGGGGACCGUAAGGCCUCGCGCGAUUGGAGCGGCCGAUGUCAGAUUAGGUAGUUGGUGGGGUAAAGGCUCACCAAGCCGACGAUCUGUAGCUGGUCUGAGAGGACGACCAGCCACACUGGGACUGAGACACGGCCCAGACUCCUACGGGAGGCAGCAGUGGGGAAUUUUGGACAAUGGGGGCAACCCUGAUCCAGCGAUGCCGCGUGCAGGAAGAAGGCCUUCGGGUUGUAAACUGCUUUUGUACGGAACGAAACGGCUCUGGUUAAUACCUGGGGCUAAUGACGGUACCGUAAGAAUAAGCACCGGCUAACUACGUGCCAGCAGCCGCCGUAACAC
rnacentral:rRNA from 1 species